rnacentral:rRNA from 1 species
AAAGAUUUAACAUUUCAGUUUAUUUAUUAUAAUUAAAAUUCCAAAUUUACAAAAAUGUAAAAAGACAUCUAUAAUAAAGAAAGACGACAAGACCCUAUUGAACUUAACUUCAGUUUAACUGGGGCAGUAAAUUAAUUAUUAUUUUAAUAUAUAAAUAUUUAUAAUUACCUAAUAUAACUAAAAUUAUUCAGUUACCGUAGGGAUAACAGCGCAAUUAAGUCUCAGAGUUCUCAUCUAAAACUUAGGUUACGACCUCGAUGUUGAAUUAAUAACCUUAUUUAAGUAAAUUUUUAAAAAGGAAGUCUGUUCGACUUUUAAACAAUUACAUGAUUUGAGUUCAGACCGGUAUAAGCCAGGUCGGCUUCCAUCUUCUUAAUAGUUUCUUAUAGUACGAAAGGGCCCAAGAAUAUCAAAUAUUUACAAAUUGGCAGAAAAAUGCAUUAGAAUUAGAAUCUAAUUAAUCUAUU